AGAUUGAACGCUGGCGGCAUGCCUUACACAUGCAAGUCGAACGGCAGCACGGGAGCAAUCCUGGUGGCGAGUGGCGAACGGGUGAGUAAUAUAUCGGAACGUGCCCAGUCGUGGGGGAUAACGUAGAGAAAUUUACGCUAAUACCGCAUACGAUCCAAGGAUGAAAGCGGGGGACCGUAAGGCCUCGCGCGACUGGAGCGGCUGAUAUCAGAUUAGCUU
rnacentral:rRNA from 1 species